AAUCCAUAGGUUAAUGAGGCGAACCGGGGGAACUGAAACAUCUAAGUACCCCGAGGAAAAGAAAUCAACCGAGAUUCCCCCAGUAGCGGCGAGCGAACGGGGAGGAGCCCAGAGCCUGAAUCAGCAUGUGUGUUAGUGGAAGCGUCUGGAAAGGCGCGCGAUACAGGGUGACAGCCCCGUACACAAAAGCGCAUGUGCUGUGAGCUCGAUGAGUAGGGCGGGACACGUGGUAUCCUGUCUGAAUAUGGGGGGACCAUCCUCCAAGGCUAAAUACUCCUGACUGACCGAUAGUGAACCAGUACCGUGAGGGAAAGGCGAAAAGAACCCCGGCGAGGGGAGUGAAAAAGAACCUGAAACCGUGUACGUACAAGCAGUGGGAGCCCCACCACUAAGCCAGUGGUGAACUCCACAUACGCAUCCUUUGCUGAGGAUACGGUUAACGGAGCGAAAGCGACGUUCAACCUCAAAAGAAGCAGAGGGGGCUUAGUGGUGGGGUGACUGCGUACCUUUUGUAUAAUGGGUCAGCGACUUAUAUUCUGUAGCAAGGUUAACCGAAUAGGGGAGCCGGAGGGAAACCGAGUCUUAAUUGGGCGUUAAGUUGCAGGGUAUAGACCCGAAACCCGGUGAUCUAGCCAUGGGCAGGUUGAAGGUUGGGUAACACUAACUGGAGGACCGAACCGACUAAUGUUGAAAAAUUAGCGGAUGACCUGUGGCUGGGGGUGAAAGGCCAAUCAAACCGGGAGAUAGCUGGUUCUCCCCGAAAGCUAUUUAGGUAGCGCCUCGUGAAUUCAUCUCCGGGGGUAGAGCACUGUUUCGGCUAGGGGGCCAUCCCGGCUUACCAACCCGAUGCAAACUGCGAAUACCGGAGAAUGUUAUCACGGGAGACACACGGCGGGUGCUAACGUCCGUCGUGAAGAGGGAAACAACCCAGACCGCCAGCUAAGGUCCCAAAGUCAUGGUUAAGUGGGAAACGAUGUGGGAAGGCCCAGACAGCCAGGAUGUUGGCUUAGAAGCAGCCAUCAUUUAAAGAAAGCGUAAUAGCUCACUGGUCGAGUCGGCCUGCGCGGAAGAUGUAACGGGGCUAAACCAUGCACCGAAGCUGCGGCAGCGAACGUAUCACCCAAGACAACUUUGCACAGUUGACGAUUGGCGGAGCGAAGCGACGUCAAAGCGUUUUACAACGUCGAGUUGGCUUAGGGAUACGUUCGUUGGGUAGGGGAGCGUUCUGUAAGCCUGUGAAGGUGGCCUGUGAGGGUUGCUGGAGGUAUCAGAAGUGCGAAUGCUGACAUAAGUAACGAUAAAGCGGGUGAAAAGCCCGCUCGCCGGAAGACCAAGGGUUCCUGUCCAACGUUAAUCGGGGCAGGGUGAGUCGACCCCUAAGGCGAGGCCGAAAGGCGUAGUCGAUGGGAAACGGGUUAAUAUUCCCGUACUUGGUGUUACUGCGAAGGGGGGACGGAGAAGGCUAUGUUGGCCGGGCGACGGUUGUCCCGGUUUAAGCGUGUAGGUGUGUGUUCCAGGUAAAUCCGGUUCACUUUAACACUGAGGCGUGACGACGAGGCACUACGGUGCUGAAGCAACAAAUGCCCUGCUUCCAGGAAAAGCCUCUAAGCAUCAGGUAACACGAAAUCGUACCCCAAACCGACACAGGUGGUCAGGUAGAGAAUACCAAGGCGCUUGAGAGAACUCGGGUGAAGGAACUAGGCAAAAUGGUGCCGUA
rnacentral:rRNA from 1 species